CCCCGGGCUCAACCUGGGAACUGCGUUCUGAACUGGGUGACUAGAGUGUNUCAGAGGGAGGUAGAAUUCCACGUGUAGCAGUGAAAUGCGUAGAGAUGUGGAGGAAUACCGAUGGCGAAGGCAGCCUCCUGGGAUAACACUGACGUUCAUGCCCGAAAGCGUGGGUAGCAAACAGGAUUAGAUACCCUGGUAGUCCACGCCCUAAACGAUGUCGAUUAGCUGUUGGGCAGCAUGACUGCUUAGUAGCGAAGCUAACGCGUGAAAUCGACCGCCUGGGGAGUACGGUCGCAAGAUUAAAACUCAAAGGAAUUGACGGGGACCCGCACAAGCGGUGGAUGAUGUGGAUUAAUUCGAUGCAACGCGAAGAACCUUACCUGGUCUUGACAUGUACGGAACCCUCCAGAGACGGAGGGGUGCCUUCGGGAGCCGUAACACAGGUGCUGCAUGGCUGUCGUCAGCUCGUGUCGUGAGAUGUUGGGUUAAGUCCCGCAACGAGCGCAACCCUUGUCAUUAGUUGCCAUCAUUAAGUUGGGCACUCUAAUGAGACUGCCGGUGACAAGCCGGAGGAAGGUGGGGAUGACGUCAAGUCCUCAUGGCCCUUAUGACCAGGGCUUCACACGUCAUACAAUGGUCGGUACAGAGGGUAGCCAAGCCGCGAGGUGGAGCCAAUCUCACAAAACCGAUCGUAGUCCGGAUUGCACUCUGCAACUCGAGUGCAUGAAGUCGGAAUCGCUAGUAAUCGCAGGUCAGCAUACUGCGGUGAAUACGUUCCCGGGUCUUGUAC
rnacentral:rRNA from 1 species